rnacentral:rRNA from 1 species
ACUAAGCCAUGCAAGCCCAGGCUCCGCAAGGAACCGGCAGAAGGCUCAGUAACACGUCGCUAACCUGCCCUAAGGUCUGGGAUAACCUCGGGAAACUGAGGAUAAUACUGGAUAGGGAAAAGAUACUGGAAUGUUCUUUUCCUUAAAGCUUCGGCGCCUUAGGAUGGGGCGGCGGCCGAUUAGGUUGUUGGCGGUGUAAUGGACCACCAAGCCUAUGAUCGGUACGGGCCAUGAGAGUGGUAGCCCGGAGAAGGGUACUGAGAUACGGACCCUAGCCCUACGGGGUGCAGCAGGCGCGAAACCUCUGCAAUGCACGAAAGUGUGACAGGGGGAUCCCAAGUGCUCAUACACUGUAUGGGCUUUUGUCAAGGGUAAGUACCUUGACGAAUAAGCGGUGGGUAAGACUGGUGCCAGCCGCCGCGGUAACACCAGCGCCGCAAGUGGGGACCGCUAUUAUUGGGCCUAAAGCAUCCGUAGCCGGUCAAGUAAAUCUUCUGUGAAAUCGUUCAGCCUAACUGAACGGCGUGCAGAAGAGACUGCUUGACUAGGGACCGGGAGGCGUGAGAGGUAUUCGUAGGGUAGCGGUAAAAUGCGAUAAUCCUACGAGGACCACCUGUGGCGAAGGCGUCUCACGAGAACGGCUCCGACGGUGAGGGAUGAAGGCCAGGGGAGCGAAUGGGAUUAGAUACCCCAGUAGUCCUGGCAGUAAACCCUGCGAGCUAGGUGUCGCGCAUCCUCCGAGGGUGUGCGGUGUCGUAGAGAAGUCGUUAAGCUCGCCGCCUGGGAAGUACGGUCGCAAGGCUGAAACUUAAAGGAAUUGGCGGGGGAGCACUACAAGGGGUGCGGCGUGCGGUUUAAUUGGAUUCAACGCCGAAAAUCUCACCAGGGGAGACGGCAGAAUGAAGGUCAGUCUAAAGGGCUUACCUU